AGCCUUAAGAGGAACUAUUUAAGGUCAGACCUGCCCAGUGUAAGGUGAUAUAUAAAUGGCCGCGGUACUUUGACCGUGCUAAGGUAGCGCAAUCAAUUGGUUUUUAAUUGAAGCCAGGUAUGAAUGGAGUUACGGGGUUUUUCUGUCUCCUAACUAAUUUAUCGAAAUUACUAUGUAGGUGAAAAAGCCUAUGGCAAGAAAAAGGACGAGAAGACCCUUAGAGUUUUUCUAAAUUUGAAAAAUAGAUAAGUUUUCAAAGAUGUUUAGUUGGGGCAACAUGGGAACAGUUGAAUUUCCUUAAUAAAAUGUAUCGAGUAUUUUAGAUUUGAAUAAACUACCUUAGGGAUAACAGCAUAAUUUUAUAAAUAAGUUUGUGACCUCGAUGUUGGACUGGGAAACUGAAAGGUUAGCCGCCUUUUUGGUAAGUUCUGUUCGAACUAUAAUUCCC
rnacentral:rRNA from 1 species